AUUAAAGCGGUACGUGAGCUGGGUUUAGAACGUCGCGAGACAGUUCGGUCCCUAUCUGCCAUGGGCGUAGGAGAUUUGAGGGGGGCUGUCCUUAGUACGAGAGGACCGGGAUGGACGGACCUCUAGUGUACCAGUUGUCGCGCCAGCGGCAGUGCUGGGUAGCUACGUCCGGAAGGGAGAAACGCUGAAAGCAUCUAAGCGUGAAACCCUCCCCAAGAUGAGAUCUCCCUGGACCUUCGGGUCCCUGAAGGCUCCUGGAAGACCACCAGGUGAUAGGCCAGAUGUGUAAGGCCCGUGAGGGCUUGAGCUAACUGGUACUAAUCAGCCGUGAGGCUUGACCAU
rnacentral:rRNA from 1 species